AAGGCAGCCAAGUUCGGUGCUGGAGGAGCAGGAGCCUUGGGAGGUCUGGUGCCAGGGGUCGGAGACGGAGUGGCAGGUGUCCCAGGCACAGGAGUGGUGCCAGGAGCAGGGAUUCCAGCCGCUGCAGCCGCCAAAGCCGCUGCCAAAGCCGCCCAGUUUGGGUUAGGGCCCGGUAUUGGCGUGGGUCCCGGUGUGGGUCCCGGCGUGGGUCCUGGCAUUGGUCCUGGUAUUGGCAUUGUCCCCGGUGCUGUUACAGGAGUAGGGGCCCCCGCUGCAGCCAAAGCCGCUGCGAAAGCAGCCGCCAAAGCCCAGUUCCGGGCUGCAGCUGGGCUUCCUGCUGGCGUUCCUGGAUUAGGGGUUGGUGCCGGCGUUCCUGGAUUCGGAGUUGGUGCUGGCGUUCCUGGAUUCGGAGUUGGUGCUGGUGUUCCCGGAUUUGGGGCAGGUGCAGUACCUGGAACCCUGGCUGCGGCUAAGGCAGCCAAAUAUGGUGAGUGCACCCCACACACGGCCCCCUGUGGUUGGUUUGCUUGCUGUCCCACCAGCCCUGAUAACACCUGGUCACCCAUCUCCCCUCCGCGGGGCCGGGGCCCAGUGCCCAGAGCCUGCAGCACAGCGCUGGGAGGGUCAGGGAGGAAAAAGGCCGUUUCUAGGACACACUAAUGAUGGGUGAGGAGACCUGGCCCCAGCCCGCUAAACGCCUAUCAUGCCUCCAGCUCCAGGACAACUCAAAAUGCCCCUCACAGUUCCAAAGCCCCUAGUGGCAGUUCCUU
rnacentral:lncRNA from 1 species